rnacentral:rRNA from 1 species
AAAGAUUAAGCCAUGCAUGUCUAAGCACAUGCCUUAAUACGGUGAAGCCGCGAAUAGCUCAUUACAACAGCCACCGUUUACUAGAAUAUAGUUAUCCUACUUGGAUAACUGUGGCAAUUCUAGAGCUAAUACAUGCAAAAAAGCUCUGACCGCAAGGAACGAGCGCAUUUAUUAGAAUAAAAACCAAUCGGGUUUCGGCCCGUAAUUUGGUGAAUCUGAAUAACUUUGCCAAUCGCACAGUCCUAGUACUGGCGAUGUAUCUUUCAAGUGUCUGCCUUAUCAACUUUCGAUGGUAGGUUAUACGCCUACCAUGGUAGUAACGGGUAACGGAGAAUAAGGGUUCGACUCCGGAGAGGGAGCCUGAGAAACGGCUACCACAUCCAAGGAAGGCAGCAGGCGCGCAAAUUACCCACUUCCAGAACGGAGAGGUAGUGACGAAAAAUAACGAGACAGUCCUCUUCGAGGUCUGUCAUCGGAAUGGGUACAAUUUAAAUCCUUUAACGAGGAUCUAUUGGAGGGCAAGUCUGGUGCCAGCAGCCGCGGUAAUUCCAGCUCCAAUAGCGUAUAUUAAAGUUGUUGCGGUUAGAACGCUCGUAGUUGGAUCUGCGGCCUCGGAGAACGGUCCCCCGAAAGGGUGGUCACUGUCUCUCCUAGCCUAAAUUCGAGUCGUCUCUAGGUGCUCUUUACCGAGUGCCUAGAGUGACUAGAACGUUUACUUUGAAAAAAUUAGAGUGCUUAAAGCAGGCGAAAUAGCCUGAAUAAGGUGCAUGGAAUAAUGGAAUAGGACCUCGGUUCUAUUUUGUUGGUUUUCGGAACCCGAGGUAAUGAUUAAGAGGAACAGACGGGGGCAUUCGUAUUCCGGCGCUAGAGGUGAAAUUCUUGGACCGCCGGAAGACGGACAACUGCGAAAGCAUUUGCCAAGAAUG